rnacentral:sRNA from 14 species
CUGUAGGGAUUUGUUGGGGUGAAAUGAAGUGGAUGUGUGUGUCAAUACCACCAGCCGUUACGAUCAAACCUUCACCGGCUAAGGCUUCAGUAGCAGGACCCACGCUAAGAUUGUUUUUAACGCCAUCUUGCAUGUCYUURUUGCCUGCUUUACCAAUGCCUGCAAUUUUGCCAUCUUUAAUUCCAAUGUCGGCUUUGUAAAUACCGGUAUAGUCCACGAUCAAAGCAUUGGUGAGCACCAAGUCCAACUCAUAAGAGCUGGGGCUGUUGGUUUGACUCAUCCCAUCGCGGAUAG